rnacentral:antisense_RNA from 1 species
CUUCACCGAGCCCAGCCACAGCGGCUCCGAGCGGUCCUGUCCGUAGGUGGCCAGCAGUGCUUGCGCCUC